AAAUAUAGUUUCUCUGCAAACUCUUCUUGUAACUUAAAUUUGUGAAUUUUUAUUUUAUUUUAGAAUUAUUUUUUUAAAAAUCCAAUGUUUGGAUUUACCUCUGAAGAUUUUUCUCAAGAUGUGCAUCAUCAUGCUUACACUGUUUUCAAUGAUCUCUGGGUCCAGAAGUUAAGGAACUCCAAGAAUGAAAUUGUGAAAGGAUGGGUUUCAGCCCAGCAGAAGCAUUAUCUUUGCCAGUUGGAGUGCUGGAGACUUUGGAUCGGUUGGUGCCACUGAAUGGCUAGAGGGAUACCUUUCGUCCCUGCAUUUAAAGGCUUUCACUUAUAUUAAUCUGGAUAAAGCGGUUCUUGGUACCAGCAACUUCAAGGUUUCUGCCAGCCCACUGUUGUAUACGCUUAUUGAGAAAACAAUGCAAAAUGUGAAGCAUCCGGUUACUGGGCAAUUUCUAUAUCAGGACAGCAACUGGGCCAGCAAAGUUGAGAAACUCACUUUAGACAAUGCUGCUUUCCCUUUCCUUGCAUAUUCUGGAAUCCCAGCAGUUUCUUUCUGUUUUUGCGAGG
rnacentral:lncRNA from 1 species